GUGCACCGCCGCGGUAAUACCGGCAGCCCGAGUGAUGGCCGAUAUUAUUGGGCCUAAAGCGUCCGUAGCUGGCCGAACAAGUCCGUCGGGAAAUCCACGUGCUUAACACGUGGGCGACCGGCGGAAACUGUUCGGCUUGGGGCCGGAGGACCCGAGGGGUACGUCCGGGGUAGGAGUGAAAUCCUGUAAUCCUGGACGGACCGCCGGUGGCGAAAGCGCCUCGGGAAGACGGACCCGACAGUGAGGGACGAAAGCUGGGAUCUCGAACCGGAUUAGAUAUCCUAGUAGUCC
rnacentral:rRNA from 1 species